rnacentral:misc_RNA from 1 species
GAUGAAGAACGUAGUAAAAUGCGAUAAUUAAUGUGAGUUGCAGAAUUCAGUGAAUCAUCGAGUCUUUGAACGCACAUUGCGCCCCCUGGUAUUCCGGGGGGCAUGCCUGUCCGAGCGUCAUUGCUGCCCUCAAGCACGGCUUGUGUGUUGGGCUUCCGUCCCUGGCAACGGGGACGGGCCCAAAAGGCAGUGGCGGCACCAUGUCUGGUCCUCGAGCGUAUGGGGCUUUGUCACCCGCUCCCGUAGGUCCAGCUGGCAGCUAGCCUCGCAACCAAUCUUUUUAACCAGGUUGACCUCGGAUCAGGUAGGGAUACCCGCUGAACUUAAGCAUAUCAAUAAGCGGAGGA